UCGUUCGGCAUCGGCAGCUGUUCUGUUCAGCACUGCUGUACCGUAAACAAACAUUGCUCAGAAGCUCUGAACUAUACUUCUUGCUCUGAACCUGUCUUCCCAGCCUCCCAGGCCUGCCUGUGGUCCAGGAAGGAGUGCGCGCGGUGCCGAAUUUCGUUGGUCUUUCGUCAAGAGAAUGACACGCAGGAUGUUGGGAGUACAUUCCAUAAUUAUAGAUAGUCAUAUUAUCUUAGUGGUUUUCAUUCUCAAAUUAAGACGACGAGGCUACGGAAAACGAUGAACAAAGCCGACAUCAAGACCCUGCACAGCAGCAACAACACAGCACUCACCCCAGAUGCAAGUCCCACCUGCCAAAAGGCAGAGAACUGAACUGAACAUCCCCAAGUUGGGUGCAGAAACCUGUUCCCAGUACAUCUGGCCUUCCAGGGCCGAGCACAUCAGCAAGUAGAGCAGUCCAAGAGGCAGGCCCAAGUGGACAGCAGCAAAAUGCCCAGUUUACCCAUCAAGACUUUUUGCCCACAUCCACUCUAAUGCACCUAAACAGAUACUUUUGGUGCCCACUUCAAGUGGUUUGGGAAUCACAGUCUUUCGGCAAGAGAAUGACACACAGGGUGUUGGAUUACAUCCCAAACAAAUAAUCAUUGUGAUUUUCCUCUUCAAAGAUGGAUGAGGUUGCGGCAAAAGACAAACAGAGUCGACAUCAAAACCAAAUCAAGACCCUGCACAGUAGCAACAACAGCCAACACAACAGCACUCACCCCAGAUGCAAGUCCCACCUGCCAAAAGGCAGAAAACUACACUGAACGCUCCAAGUAGAGUUGCGGAACCUGUUCGCAGUACAUCUGGCCUUCCAGCGCCGAGCACCUCAGCAAGCAGAGCAGUCCACGAGGCAGGCCUAAGUGGAAACCAGCAAAUUGCCAAGUUUUCCGAUGAAGACCUUUUCCCCACAUCCACUUCAAUGCACCUCAACAGAUACUUGGUGCCCACUUCAAGUGGUUUAUGAAUCACAGCUAUGUAGCUCUUAAGUCAAUUCUUGCAGAGACAUUAAUUGAUAAUUUGUUAUUAGUGGAUCUUUGUCAGCCAGGGCUCCUCUUAGCCUUCACUUAUUGUUAACUUUAAUUUUCUUUGUCGAAAAAACUACCCAAAUCUCCAGAGGUGUAUUUGUUAUUUACGAUUAAUAAAAAUUGUGCGUCACUCAUGUGUUAGUUAGA